rnacentral:rRNA from 1 species
UACAGAGGUCUCAAGCGUUGUUCGGAUUCAUUGGGCGUAAAGGGUGCGUAGGCGGCGCGGUAAGUCGGGUGUGAAAUCUCGGAGCUUAACUCCGAAACUGCAUUCGAUACUGCCGUGCUUGAGGACUGGAGAGGAGACUGGAAUUUACGGUGUAGCGGUGAAAUGCGCAGAUAUCAGGAGGAACACCGGUGGCGAAGGCGGAUCUCUGGGCCGAUACUGACGCUGAGGAGCGAAAGCGUGGGGAGCGAACAGG